GCCAUAGUGAGUUGUCAUGCUUCUCCUCUCCGAGAUGGACGCAGGUUAAGAUCUCUUCUGGAGCCUGUGAAGGCCAGAAGAGGGUGUUUGAUCCCCCUGGAAGCAGAGUUACAAGCAUUUGUGAGCAUCCCAGUGUGGGUGUUAGAAACAGAGCUUAGAUGCUCUGGAAGAACAGUGAAUGCACACCAGGAACCACCUUUUGAUGUCAUUUACCAGAAGAAGAAGAAGAAGAAGAAGAAGAAGAAGAAGAAGAAGAAGAAGAAGAAGAAGAAGAAGAAGAAGAAGAAGAAGAAGAAGAAAGAAAAGGUUCUUUAGCAACUGUGAUGGUUAGCAUUGUCAACUGGACAGAGCCUAGAAUUACCUAGGAUAGGUAAUGUCCACAGGUUAGCCCCUGGACAUGUCUAUGAGGGAUUAUCUACAUUGGGUUAGCCUCUGGACAUGUCUAUGAGGGAUUAUCUACAUUGGGUUAACCUCUGGACAUGUCUAUGAGGUAUUAUUUAUACUAGAUUAACCUCUGGACAUGUCUAUGAGGUAUUAUUUAUACUAGGUUAGCCUCUGGACAUGUCUAUGAGGUAUUAUUUAUACUAGGUUAGCCUCUGGACAUGUCUAUGAGGUAUUAUUUAUACUAGGUUAGCCUCUGGACAUGUCUAUGAGGUAUUAUUUAUACUAGGUUAGCCUCUGGACAUGUCUAUGAGGUAUUAUUUAUACUAGGUUAGCCUCUGGACAUGUCUAUGAGGUAUUAUUUAUACUAGGUUAGCCUCUGGACAUGUCUAUGAAGGAUUAUUUAUAUUAGGUUAACCUCUGGAUGUGUCUAUGAAAGAUGAUCUAUAUUGGGCUAGCCUCUGAAUGUGUCCAUGAGGGAUUAUCUAGAUUAGGUUAAUCUACAUAAUGACACGAGAAGAGCCACCUGAACUAUGGGUAGCACCAUUCUCUGGGCUGGGAUCCUAGACAAAUAAAACGGAGAAAAUAAGUUGAAUGUGA